CCUACGGGGGGCAGCAGUGGGGAAUAUUGCACAAUGGGCGCAAGCCUGAUGCAGCCAUGCCGCGUGUGUGAAGAAGGCCUUCGGGUUGUAAAGCACUUUCAGCGGGGAGGAAGGCGUUAAGGUUAAUAACCUCGGCGAUUGACGUUACCCGCAGAAGAAGCACCGGCUAACUCCGUGCCAGCAGCCGCGGUAAUACGGAGGGUGCAAGCGUUAAUCGGAAUUACUGGGCGUAAAGCGCACGCAGGCGGUCUGUCAAGUCGGAUGUGAAAUCCCCGGGCUCAACCUGGGAACUGCAUUCGAAACUGGCAGGCUAGAGUCUUGUAGAGGGGGGUAGAAUUCCAGGUGUAGCGGUGAAAUGCGUAGAGAUCUGGAGGAAUACCGGUGGCGAAGGCGGCCCCCUGGACAAAGACUGACGCUCAGGUGCGAAAGCGUGGGGAGCAAACAGGAUUAGAUACCCUUGUAGUC
rnacentral:rRNA from 1 species